rnacentral:rRNA from 1 species
GAUGAACGCUGGCGGCGUGCCUAAUACAUGCAGGUCGAGCGGACGGACGAGAAGCUUGCUUCUCUGAUGUUAGCGGCGGGCGGGUGAGUAACACGUGGAUAACCUACCUAUCAGACUGGGAUCACUUCGGGAAACCGGAGCUAAUACCGGAUGAUAUUUUGAACCGCAUGGUUCAAAAGUGAAAGACGGUCUUGCUGUCACUUAUCGAUGGAUCCGCGCUGCAUUAGCUAGUUGGUAAGGUAACGGCUUACCAAGGCAACGAUGCAUAGCCGACCUGAGAGGGUGAUCGGCCACACUGGAACUGAGACACGGUCCAGACUCCUACGGGAGGCAGCAGUAGGGAAUCUUCCGCAAUGGGCGAAAGCCUGACGGAGCAACGCCGCGUGAGUGAUGAAGGUCUUCGGAUCGUAAAACUCUGUUAUUAGGGAAGAACAUAUGUGUAAGUAACUGUGCACAUCUUGACGGUACCUAAUCAGAAAGCCACGGCUAACUACGUG